rnacentral:rRNA from 1 species
GGCUGCAGUCGAGGAUCUUCGGCAAUGGGCGCAAGCCUGACCGAGCGACGCCGCGUGCGGGAUGAAGGCCUUCGGGUUGUAAACCGCUGUCGGAGGGGAGGAAAUGCCAGGGGGUUAUCUCCUUGGUUUGACCUAUCCUCAGAGGAAGUACGGGCUAAGUUCGUGCCAGCAGCCGCGGUAAGACGAACCGUACAAACGUUAUUCGGAAUCACUGGGCUUAAAGGGUGCGUAGGCGGCCCGGAAAGUUGGGUGUGAAAGCCCUCGGCUCAACCGAGGAAUGGCGCCCAAAACUACCGGGCUUGAGUGUGACAGAGGAAAAUGGAAUUCUCGGUGUAAGGGUGAAAUCUGUAGAUAUCGAGAAGAACACCAGCGGCGAAGGCGAUUUUCUGGGUCACUACUGACGCUAAAUUGCGAAAGCUAGGGGAGCAAACAGAAUUAGAUACUCUGGUAGUCCUAGCCGUAAACGAUGAGCACUAGAUGUCGGUCCCUUUAGGGGUCGGUGUCGCAGCUAACGCAUUAAGUGCUCCACCUGGGGACUACGGUCGCAAGGCUAAAACUCAAAGGAAUUGACGGGGGCUCACACA